GGACCUUUAGCUCAGCUGGAGCAGACAUCUCAUAACCGUCCGGUCGUAGGUUUAAAUCCUACAAGAUCCA
rnacentral:tRNA from 1 species